ACACAUGCAGUCGAGGGGUAGAGGAAGCUUGCUUCCUUGAGACCGGCGCACGGGUGCGUAACGCGUAUGCAAUCUGCCUUGUACUGAGGGAUAGCCCAGAGAAAUUUGGAUUAAUACCUCAUAGCAUUAUGAAAUCGCAUGGUUUUAUAAUUAAAGUUCCAACGGUACAAGAUGAGCAUGCGUCCCAUUAGUUAGUUGGUAAGGUAACGGCUUACCAAGACGAUGAUGGGUAGGGGUCCUGAGAGGGAGAUCCCCCACACUGGUACUGAGACACGGACCAGACUCCUACGGGAGGCAGCAGUGAGGAAUAUUGGUCAAUGGACGCAAGUCUGAACCAGCCAUGCCGCGUGCAGGAUGAAGCAUCUAUGGUGUGUAAACUGCUUUUGUACGGGAAGAAACACUCCUACGUGUAGGAGCUUGACGGUACCGUAAGAAUAAGGAUCGGCUAACUCCGUGCCAGCAGCCGCGGUAAUACGGAGGAUCCAAGCGUUAUCCGGAAUCAUUGGGUUUAAAGGGUCCGUAGGCGGCUUUAUAAGUCAGUGGUGAAAGCCCAUCGCUUAACGAUGGAACGGCCAUUGAUACUGUAGAGCUUGAAUUACUUGGAAGUAACUAGAAUAUGUAGUGUAGCGGUGAAAUGCUUAGAUAUUACAUGGAAUACCAAUUGCGAAGGCAGGUUACUACAAGUGGAUUGACGCUGAUGGACGAAAGCGUGGGGAGCGAACAGGAUUAGAUACCCUGGUAGUCCACGCCGUA
rnacentral:rRNA from 2 species